ACUACCAUGGGAUGGGCUUGGAAGUAUGGUUGCAGUUUAUGAGCUAUAAUAAUUAAAGUGAAAAUGAGCAUUUUAACCUUUGCAUACCUAAGCUCAUCAUUUUGAAGCACCUUACUAACAUAGUAUAUCGGGAAUUGUCGAACACCCUCUGCCCUAGCAAGAUAGCUGUUACAAUUUCCUCACAUGCGAUGAGGUAAAAUUAAAGGGUCUCUUCCUCGUAGGUUGACAUUAGCAACAGUGGAGAUGCCAAAUACUCA
rnacentral:lncRNA from 1 species